rnacentral:tRNA from 1 species
CUAAAUAUAGUAUAAUUUAUUAUAAUUCGCUUACAACGAAUAGAUACAAUAAGUUAUUUAGU